rnacentral:rRNA from 1 species
AACGAACGCUGGCGGCAUGCCCAACACAUGCAAGUCGAACGAUGCCUUCGGGCAUAGUGGCGCACGGGUGCGUAACACGUGGGAAUCUGCCCUUCGGUUCGGAAUAACACAGAGAAAUUUGUGCUAAUACCGGAUAAUGACGUAAGUCCAAAGAUUUAUCGCCGAAGGAUGAGCCCGCGUAGGAUUAGGUAGUUGGUGGGGUAAUGGCCUACCAAGCCGACGAUCCUUAGCUGGUCUGAGAGGAUGAUCAGCCACACUGGGACUGAGACACGGCCCAGACUCCUACGGGAGGCAGCAGUGGGGAAUAUUGGACAAUGGGCGAAAGCCUGAUCCAGCAAUGCCGCGUGAGUGAUGAAGGCCCUAGGGUUGUAAAGCUCUUUUACCAGGGAUGAUAAUGACAGUACCUGGAGAAUAAGCUCCGGCUAACUCCGUGCCAGCAGCCGCCGUAAGAC